rnacentral:rRNA from 1 species
ACUCCUACGGGAGGCAGCAGUGGGGAAUAUUGGACAAUGGGCGAAAGCCUGAUCCAGCAAUGCCGCGUGAGUGAUGAAGGCCUUAGGGUUGUAAAGCUCUUUUGCCCGGGAUGAUAGUGACAGUACCGGGAGAAUAAGCCCCGGCUAACUCCGUGCCAGCAGCCGCGGUAAU